AUGCCCCCUGAAGAAUUCCCUGUGCGAGUGACUCCUGUUGCUUCCUCUCCAGGGGCUUAUAAGAUACUACAGAAAUCCCAGAAACUCAACAAGUUAAGUGACAUUGACCAGCAGUACUUAAACUAUCUAUUCAGUGUGGUGCUCCUGGCUUUAGCAGCUCACCCCACAGGUAAGAUUUCGUUUAUUUGUUUGUCUUACAUUGCCCACUGACCCAGUGCUCUGAUCCUGCUUAAAUC
rnacentral:lncRNA from 1 species